ACUCAAAUGAAUUGACGGGGGCCCGCACAAGCGGUGGAGCAUGUGGUUUAAUUCGACGCAACGCGAAGAACCUUACCCAGACUUGACAUUGAUGAAAUCCUGUAGAGAUACGGGAGUACCCGCAAGGGAUCUGAAAACAGGUGCUGCAUGGCUGUCGUCAGCUCGUGUCGUGAGAUGUUGGGUUAAGUCCCGCAACGAGCGCAACCCUCGUCGUUAGUUGCCAGCGAGUAAUGUCGGGCACUCUAGCGAGACUGCCGGUGUCAAACCGGAGGAAGGUGGGGAUGACGUCAAGUCCUCAUGGCCUUUAUGUCUGGGGCUACACACGUGCUACAAUGGCAACUACAGAGCGAGGCUAAGCCGCAAGGUGGCGCAAAUCGCAAAAAAGUUGUCUCAGUUCGGAUUGGAGUCUGCAACUCGACUUCAUGAAGUCGGAAUCGCUAGUAAUCGAGGAUCAGCAUGCCUCGGUGAAUACGUUCCCGGGCCUUGUACACACCGCCCGU
rnacentral:rRNA from 1 species